GGCCUUUGGACACACACUUACCCACAUGUAAAAUCACGCAUGACCGAGGCAUUGAAGCGUUAGUUGAAUUCUUGGUAUGUUGGAAGUACACCUAUAGGCCUCAGUAUGAUUCUGGUUUCCAGUGUGUGAAGAAUGCCAUGGGAUGGCCUCUACAAAGGAAAGUUCUAGGUCUCAGAAAAGGACAACCCUGGCACUUGUGCAAGAUGGAGGUUUCCCCCAACUUCUAAGAUCCCCAGAGAGAGGACAUACUCCCUAGUCAUGGGCAUAAAUUGGUAGUCUGCCAUUUUUGUAGGAAAUGGGCUCUACUUUCCAUAAACUUUCCCGGACAAAUCAUGGAGAGAAUCCUAGACAUACUUGAGGCCUCAUUAGAG